rnacentral:rRNA from 1 species
GACGAACGCUGGCGGCGUGCCUAAUACAUGCAAGUCGAACGCAGUGGGGACGGGUGAGUAACACGUGGGUAACCUCCCAUCAGAGGGGAUAACACUGGGAAAAAGGUGCUAAACCGAUACUGAUGGAUGGACCCGCGGUGCAUUAGCUAGUUGGUGGGGUAACGGCUCACCAAGGCCACGAUGCAUCGCCGACCGGAGAGGGUGUGCGGCCACACUGGGACUGGGACACGGCCCAGACUCCUACGGGAGGCAGCAGUAGGGAAUCUUCGGCAAUGGACGAAAGUCUGACCGAGCAACGCCGCGUGAGUGAAGAAGGUUUUCGGAUCGUAAAACUCUGUUGUUAGAGAAGCGGUAUCUGCAGAAUAAGCACCGGCUAACUACGUGCCAGCAGCCGCGGUAAUAC